GAUGAACGCUGGCGGCGUGCCUAAUACAUGCAAGUCGAGCGAACGGACGAGAAGCUUGCUUUUCUGAUGUUAGCGGCGGACGGGUGAGUAACACGUGGAUAACCUACCUAUAAGACUGGGAUAACUUCGGGAAACCGGAGCUAAUACCGGAUAAUAUUUUGAACCGCAUGGUUCAAAAGUGAAAGACGGUCUUGCUGUCACUUAUAGAUGGAUCCGCGCUGCAUUAGCUAGUUGGUAAGGUACCGGCUUACCAAGGCAACGAUGCAUAGUCGACCUGAGAGGGUGAACGGCCACACUGGAACUGAGACACGGUCCAGACUCCUACGGGAGGCAGCAGUAGGGAAUCUUCCGCAAUGGGCGAAAGCCUGACGGAGCAACGCCGCGUGAGUGAUGAAGGUCUUCGGAUCGUAAAACUCUGUUAUUAGGGAAGAACAUAUGUGUAAGUAACUGUGCACAUCUUGACGGUACCUAAUCAGAAAGCCACGGCUAACUACGUG
rnacentral:rRNA from 1 species